GAAGUAUACGUUAAAUGGGUUUUAUAACAAUUUAUUACAUCCCAUAGGAAAAUGAACGUUCGGGAUUUAUUGUGAAAGGCCGUCAUUUACAAGAAUUCAUUUUCUAAAAGAACGAUUUCAAAUUUAAUAUUAUGUGGGGUGUGAUUUACAUGAUGAAAUAGAAAAUGUAUGUUUGAAAUGUUUAGAAUUAUUUUCUUUCUCAUGUGAGAGAUACUACUAAGAAUUAGAAAAAUGAUUCUGGAAACUUGAAAAUGUUUUGGCAGAAUUAUUAUGGGAACUAGGGUGGAAGUUGGAACUCAAAUUUGGAACCUAGUAUCAACCUACUUCAACCUACAUGCUACAUCAAGUAACCAAGUUUCAACUGGGCAACAUACGGCCGGACGUCAGUCAUGACGGUAGAGAUACCCUUCAGAUCUAUUUAAGUGAAAUAAAGUCUCCUUUGUCAAUCAUUCAGCUUCAAGACUAAGAAAGGCCAGACCCCCAAGAGCAUCUACGAAGAUUAGGUGCUACGCAUCAUCUGCGGAUAGUGCGUGUUCCAGGCAUGAGCCUGGAUAACUUUCCUAACUCUUGAUCAUCUUUCAAAAGAUAUGGGAGUGGGAACUCUAUUUUCCUGGUUUCCCAAGGAGUUGAUGCUCAGCUGGAAUUCAUAAAUAAAAUUUCCCUUAGGACAAACUCGGACACUCCGAUGUGAUGAAGAAGCAUCCCGAGAACUCUGAUGCUAGUGAAGAUCGACACGGACAGUAACACAAUUAUGUACUCGAAGGUUCCGUGGUGGGAAGAUGUGGAAACCUCUUUCUCGUUCUCGGAAGACGCCUCACAGACUGAACACGUUCACAUACUUGAAGGGGAGAGCCACGUCUGUACUAGGAUGGAGAAACACCUUUCUCAGAAGAUGCCACAAGUCUCGAAUUCUCCAACGGGAGGGGAGAUGGAGGAGGAGGAAAAUGCAACGUUUAUCUUGCCCUACAAUUUCUACUAGAAACUCUGGGAUGUCUACCAAACAACUCUUGGAAGAACACUUCUGACGGGUUACCGACCGCUAUGGCAUCAUAGACAAUGAUGGAAGUUAUAUCAUGGUAACAGGUGGAGGAGAGACAUCACUGAAGUCGACGUCACAGGCAGUUAUAUCCGAGUGACGUCAUGGUAUUCGGACUGGUAGCCCAAGUCAAUGGUUUUGAUGACAGCAAAGAUGGCAAAAAAGGCCUUCCACCACCUCCUACAUCAACCAGAGGGCCUCCCCAGAACACAUACAUGUGACAGACGCGAAGAAUUUCCAAGGAAAUUCAUCACUGAAGGAAUAGUUCGAGAGAUCGCCCUUUAGUUGAAUGCAGCGGUGUCAAACUGCUGUCGGAAGAAGCCAUGGUGUCACACAGCAGAUUACUGUUAAGGAGAGAGAGAGAGCGAGAAUGAAAAUGUUAAAACAAAAUAGUACUAAAGAUAUAUCUUAAGACAAAAGUCAAACAUUGUAGAGAUGCAAAGCAUGCUGUAAGGUUGGUAUCCCCGCAUGACAACAGUAUUAUCUGCAAGCAAGCGUCUCUGAUGACAGCAAGAAACACACUGCCAACAGUACUAAUUGCUUCCAAAGUCUCUCCUCACAACACCACUACACAAAAGAUAAGUGAAGUGUCAGGGGCAAGUGAAGUAGAGGGGCUUUCAAGUUCUGAGCAAACACCACCGCCGCUGCCAGACUUUCAGGUGCCUGUAAAGAAACAUAACAUGCUCUAUCCCUCAGAAAAGAUUAUUUCUAUCCUGAGAGGUGGGAAAAAAAAAGAAUCAUUUAUAUAAGGAUGGAGGGGAAGACAGGAGCGAGCCAUGCAACCCACUCCCACCAAAAUCACGGAGAGACGAUUAGACAAUCACAACUGGCCUUGCAAGUAGACGAGAUCUCAAUUGUACGCCAUUAAAAUCUGUGAUGGACUGUGGUCAGCCUUCUACUUGCAUUGUAAAGUUACUCCUAUAAUACCUCUGGUAGAAGGGCAACAGAAGGGAAGGCACAAGUAACACCAGAGCAGUUUUACAAAAUCAGCUCCCUUGGGCACAGGCCUCUGUUCUUUCUUUCCAGUUCAUCGGCAACAUCUGGAAGGGAACUUAAGUCAACUUGAAUCUUAACAUUACAGCGAUGUAAACAUUAAACGUACGGACCACAUCUAUCUUUGCAGUGUUUAUGUUGAAUUAUAUCCAAGAGCCUGGCUAACCAUUCUCAAAUUAUUUUUCAUGCAUUUCUCUUAUAUCACAGAUAUGUCAUAAAAUAAACACUUUCCUUUACCUUGAAAUUCAAUAACGAACCUAAACCUCAAUACUUUUGAUAAACUGCUAGUUGCUCUAUUAUUAAGCCUUAAGGAGCUCUAUUAUGCCUUCCCCCCCAAAAAAAAAAACUGCACGAAGGGAAGGUCUGUGAAAGAUCGGGCCAGAGUUGACAUCUGCCUAUUAGAUGAAGCUGACCAUAUGCCAGAACGGCAUUCCUUCCGUGAGCAGCACCGAAAUAGCAGUGCGAUCGUUGGACAUGAAUCUUCACAAAAUUAGAGGCAAACUCAACUUCGCACAGAAGCCAGUAAACUGAAAAACAAGAUUUUAGAUGCCAUUAAAAUUACUUAAAUAAUUCAGACAGGGAAAACUCGGAAACAGUAAUUUACUAACUAUUAUAUUAACAUGUUAGACAACCUUGCUAACCAUUUUAUUUAAUUCUAACGUGAAUAACAUGUAUUUAGAAAUUUCUUUAAAUCUAAUGUGAAUGACAUUAUCAUUGUGAUAUUGACUAAAAACUAAACUAUAAUUUUUAUGCACAAAGUCCCGAGUUACCAUUGUAAGCAGGAAUCCUUAUUUCAAGAACAGUUUAUUAUACCCGAAUAAUAAAAGCCUCCCUAGACAGCAGAAAGACCAAACACACAUCCAAACAGGGUUUGCCCGAUCAGACAGUUUUCACAUUCCCCUACACUUAUGAGUUAAGGCAGGCAGUAUAACCUCAAGGCAAAACUGAAGGAUGUACAUGUACCAAUGGUAUACGUACCAAAAUGUAACAUCAAUCUUCCUUGGAAGAAGACUACUUGACUUUUACAUUAAAACGCCUGUGCAUUAUCAAGUAGUAACAACUGGUUCUGUAAGUGUCAGACUCAAACACACACAAUAAAAGGAAAGAUGUGCCUUUUCAAAGAAUACUAAGGUAGUGUGCAGAAACCUGUUUACAAGUUAUAGAAGAUCGCCAAACGAAAUCGCACCAUUUCUUGAACUCUGUACUUCUCUGAGCACAACUGCAACUGUGCAUGCAGCAUGCACUCGAUAUUGUGCGUUUAGUAGUUCAUAGAAGUGUUUUUUGUGUGCGCGCGCUUAUUAAUAAGGCCAAAAGGUGAGAAUAAUAUUGUUUGUUUUAAUUAUUUUGAGCCACAUUAAUAAGAUAUAAGUGUAGUAGCCUAGGCUACCUACCAUGUUGUUGUGCAUGUUCCAUUAAGCUAAGUAAAGUGAACUACAUUUUGUUUUAUAUGUGUAGGCUAUUCUGUAUUUGUUUUUAGGGGUACUAGUAUAGUAUAUAAGUGGCCUAGCCUAGGUAAUAAGUUAGGAAACUAAUAAAUAAAUGCAGUUUACAUAAUUGACUUAUGCCUAGCCAACCCAGUUAGCCUGGGUAAACUUUAUUUUAGUGCUCACUGAGUUUUUAGUAAUGUUUUACUUUGUUGCCCUUUCAGUUAUCACAGGCUAUGAGGGCUAAGAUGUACCAGCAGUAUGAAACUUAUAGAUGUAAUAAAGCCCCGUAAAUGAA